CUACGGGCUGCUGCAGUGAGGGAUUUUGCGCAAUGGGGGAAACCCUGACGCAGCAACGCCGCGUGAGUGAAGAAGGUCUUUGGGUCGUAAAGCUCUGUCAACAGGGAAGAAGUUAUUAAUGUUUAAUAGAUGUUAGUAUUGACGGUACCUGUGAAGGAAGCACCGGCUAACUCCGUGCCAGCAGCCGCGGUAACACGGGGGGUGCAAGCGUUAUUCGGAAUUAUUGGGCGUAAAGGGCGCGUAGGCGGUUUUAUCAGUCAGAUGUGAAAGCCCGGGGCUCAACCCCGGAAGUGCAUUUGAAACAGUAAGACUUGAGUACGGGAGAGGAGAGCGGAAUUCCUGGUGUAGAGGUGAAAUUCGUAGAUAUCAGGAGGAACACCGAUGGCGAAGGCAGCUCUCUGGACCGAUACUGACGCUGAGGCGCGAAGGCGUGGGUAGCGAACAGGAUUAGAUACCCUAGUAGUC
rnacentral:rRNA from 1 species